GGGUGCCUGGCGCAAUGGUUAGCGCAUUCGGCUUCGACCACCUUGGCGGAUCAGCUCGCUGAUCUACGAUACCGAAAGGCUGCAAGUUCGAGUCUUGCGGUGCUCA